rnacentral:rRNA from 1 species
AUUGAGCGCUGGCGGCAGGCCUAACACAUGCAAGUCGAGCGGAUGAAGGGAGCUUGCUCCUGGAUUCAGCGGCGGACGGGCGAGUAAUGCCUAGGAAUCUGCCUGGUAGUGGGGGAUAACGUCCGGAAACGGGCGCUAAUACCGCAUACGUCCUGAGGGAGAAAGUGGGGGAUCUUCGGACCUCACGCUAUCAGAUGAGCCUAGGUCGGAUUAGCUAGUUGGUGGGGUAAAGGCCUACCAAGGCGACGAUCCGUAACUGGUCUGAGAGGAUGAUCAGUCACACUGGAACUGAGACACGGUCCAGACUCCUACGGGAGGCAGCAGUGGGGAAUAUUGGACAAUGGGCGAAAGCCUGAUCCAGCCAUGCCGCGUGUGUGAAGAAGGUCUUCGGAUUGUAAAGCACUUUAAGUUGGGAGGAAGGGCAGUAAGUUAAUACCUUGCUGUUUUGACGUUACCAACAGAAUAAGCACCGGCUAACUUCGUG